rnacentral:rRNA from 1 species
CCGGCGCACGGGUGCGUAACGCGUAUGCAAUCUACCUUUCACAAAGGGAUAGCCCAGAGAAAUUUGGAUUAAUACCUUAUAGUAUAGCGACUUCGCAUGGAGAUGCUAUUAAAGAUUUAUCGGUGAAAGAUGAGCAUGCGUCCCAUUAGCUAGUUGGUAAGGUAACGGCUUACCAAGGCUACGAUGGGUAGGGGUCCUGAGAGGGAGAUCCCCCACACUGGUACUGAGACACGGACCAGACUCCUACGGGAGGCAGCAGUGAGGAAUAUUGGUCAAUGGGCGCAAGCCUGAACCAGCCAUGCCGCGUGCAGGAUGACGGUCCUAUGGAUUGUAAACUGCUUUUGUACAGGAAGAAACACUCCCUCGUGAGGGAGCUUGACGGUACUGUAAGAAUAAGGAUCGGCUAACUCCGUGCCAGCAGCCGCGGUAAUACGGAGGAUCCAAGCGUUAUCCGGAAUCAUUGGGUUUAAAGGGUCCGUAGGCGGCUUAAUAAGUCAGUGGUGAAAGCCCUACGCUUAACGUAGGAACGGCCAUUGAUACUGUUAGGCUUGAAUUAUUAGGAAGUAACUAGAAUAUGUAGUGUAGCGGUGAAAUGCUUAGAGAUUACAUGGAAUACCAAUUGCGAAGGCAGGUUACUACUAAUGGAUUGACGCUGAUGGACGAAAGCGUGGGUAGCGAACAGGAUUAGAUACCCUGGUAGUCCACGCCGUAAACGAUGGAUACUAGCUGUUGGAAGCAAUUUCAGUGGCUAAGCGAAAGUGAUAAGUAUCCCACCUGGGGAGUACGUUCGC